CUUUGUUCUGGAAGCCUCAAACUGCUUGACGGUCCCGAUUCCGAUCCCGGCCUCGACCUUAAUUGAUCAAGGUCAACACCCACUGUUCGCUGAUAUCAGGUUUAUCCAUCGCAAUCAACACCAGCAGAACCUUGAUUCUGUUUGCUCUGCAAUUUCACAUCUAGCUGGUUGGUUAAUUACAACAACUUCAAGUGAGUGCCCACAAACACAGAGUUAUUAGCACAUCAUCAUUCACAGCAAAAGAACAACAUCAGGAGAAGAAAAACAAGUGAAGCUAAACCAUCCUUCUGUACAUUUGUAAUAAUAUGCUGUACUAAUCAAUUUUGUAAAAUUGGAGCUGCACUGACUACAAUUUUUAUGAAACUGUAGUCAGCUAAUCAACUGAAGCAUUUUGUACCCUGGAGUAAUUAUUUUUUGUGUACACACUCCAGCACCACUUUUUGGAAACUAGCUUCAGUUGUUUUGGAAACCAGUUCUAUCUUCAAGAACCUGCAUCAACUACUUUCUGAACACUUCUGCUAAGUUCUACUCAGUUACCCGGUUAAAAGUUGUAUUCCUGAUCUUCGUUGUGAGUUUGAAUGAAUUACCUUUCUAGCAUUCAAUCAUUUUGAAGGACAACCUUUUUCUUUUUUUUGACUUCUGGUAUGCCUGAAUUAAUACUUUUUAGCAUUUUCCAUGAACUUGCAUAUAUGAUUGGUUUUAAACAUAAGAAGCUCUCCAUUCAAUUUGGUUUUCUAUUAUUAAUUAUUUGAUUCUCUGUAUUUCAUGACUAACAAUAAUAAAUCCCGCAGCCAAGCGCAGGCAAAUCUUACUUUCUUUGUGAGUAUUCUACAUUUAGGCUUGAAAACAAAACGAUGAAAUUGAAAUGUGUUAUUGGUUUAAUUGUAUGUGUGAUUAUGAUCUGUUUCUAUAAUACAUUAAUUAAUUUGUUGUCUUCAUUUUAGUGAUUAGUUCUGCACCUGCCUGGAUUUAAGUGGACAAACAGAGGAGAAA